CGUAGGUGGCAAGCGUUGUCCGGAUUUAUUGGGCGUAAAGCGAGCGCAGGCGGUUCCUUAAGUCUGAUGUGAAAGCCCACGGCUCAACCGUGGAAGGUCAUUGGAAACUGGGGAACUUGAAUGCAGAAGAGGAGAGUGGAAUUCCAUGUGUAGCGGUGAAAUGCGUAGAUAUAUGGAGGAACACCAGUGGCGAAGGCGACUCUCUGGUCUGUAAUUGACGCUGAGGCUCGAAAGCGUGGGGAGCAAACAGGAUU
rnacentral:rRNA from 1 species